CUUCUCCUCAAUUUCCAUUCUAACUAAUUCUCAUCAUUUAUUCAAUCCAAAUAUCCUUCAAGAAAUUAACAAUAAACCAUAUAAUAGUGAAGAGUUUUAAUUUGGGAAAAUUGAGAGUGUGUGGGUAGUGUGGACUGAAUUUCAAGAAGAAAAAGAGGGAAGAAAGUGUGAUUAUAAUCUCAAUUUAAGUUACUUCCUUCAAGGUGGUUUCGGAAGAAGGAACUAAAUCUAGUUGAUUUGAAGUGUUUUCGUUUGGCUUGCUAGGAUCAUGAAGGUUUAGCAAGCUUUGAAUGUUGAUGAAUAAAGGGCGAGGCAUGGGUAAAUUGCUUGAGGAUGAUCAUAGUUUAUCCGUAGUGGCUGCUCCUUUAGACUUUUGAAUUAUGU